AUUCUCGUGUGAUAACAUCCAAUUAAAAAGACAAAUAUGUCUCUCCUAGACAUUUUACCGGACGAAAUAUUGUUAAUAAUUUUCAAUUGUUGUGAUGUAUAUACUUUACUACAGCUCAGAAGUAUAUGCAAGAAAUUUGAUGUAAUAUCAAGACAGGUCUUAGAUAAAAAAAGUAACCAUUUGCUUGUUACGAAUCAGAUGUCAGAAAAAUUUCGUGAACGAUGUCAACCACUAUUAUCUUCGUAUGAUUCUAAAUUUAUUACGCAUUACAACUGGAAAAAUAAAAUAUAUCAAAGAAAUGACAUAUCUGCAAUAAAAACAAUUUUCAAAAAAGAUAAGAGAGCCAACAGAAUGAAGGAAAAAUGCCUAAAAAUGACUAAAAAUACUAUUUGGUUUUAUUACAACAAGACUCUUUCAGCUUUUAAUCGUGCAGAGGACGACGGUAACGUUACAGGAGACAAAAUUAUUGGAACUUGUAACAGUGAAUUUUCAAGCAUUGCUCAUUGCAAUGAUAUAAUUAUAAGCGGCCACGUAGAUGGCAGUAUUCGGCACUGGAGAAUUGAAUUAUGGAAUGACAUUAAUUAUAUUCAACAAUUAAAAGCACAUUCCAAUGUAUAUGAUGAUUACGUUUAGAAGUAACAACGCAACAUAUUAUAUCAAGUUCUUCAAAUUUAAUAAAGAUACAGAAAAAUACACUUGAAGAUGAUGGUUUUGCGGAAGAAAAUAAAACAAUUUAUAAAGGCAAGAAAUUGAUUCAGUCAAUUUCAUUAGACCCUACAGAAACAAAAGUUGCUGCUAGUGCAGAAGGAUCACUUCUAAUUUAUGAUAUUAA